rnacentral:rRNA from 1 species
AUGAACGCUAGCUACAGGCUCAACACAUGCAAGUCGAGGGCAGCAUGGUCUUAGCUUGCUAAGGCCGAUGGCGACCGGCGCACGGGUGAGUAACACGUAUCCAACCUGCCGUCUACUCUUGGACAGCCUUCUGAAAGGAAGAUUAGUACAAGAUGGCAUCAUGAGUCCGCAUGUUCACAUGAUUAAAGGUAUUCCGGUAGACGAUGGGGAUGCGUUCCAUUAGAUAGUAGGCGGGGUAACGGCCCACCUAGUCUUCGAUGGAUAGGGGUUCUGAGAGGAAGGUCCCCCACAUUGGAACUGAGACACGGUCCAAACUCCUACGGGAGGCAGCAGUGAGGAAUAUUGGUCAAUGGGCGAGAGCCUGAACCAGCCAAGUAGCGUGAAGGAUGACUGCCCUAUGGGUUGUAAACUUCUUUUAUAAAGGAAUAAAGUCGGGUAUGUAUACCCGUUUGCAUGUACUUUAUGAAUAAGGAUCGGCUAACUCCGUG